GACGAGGGGUCCUAGCGUUGUUCGGAAUUACUGGGCGUAAAGCGUAUGUAGGCGGCUUUUCAAGUCAGGUGUGAAAUCCCAUGGCUUAACCAUGGAACUGCAUUUGAAACUGUAAAGCUUGAGUAUUGGAGAGGAUGGUAGAAUUCCUGGUGUAGUGGUGAAAUACGUAGAUAUCAGGAGGAAUACCGGAGGCGAAGGCGGCCAUCUGGCCAAAUACUGACGCUGAGAUACGAAAGCGUGGGGAUCAAACAGG
rnacentral:rRNA from 1 species